rnacentral:rRNA from 1 species
GACGUAGGGUGCGAGCGUUGUCCGGAUUUAUUGGGCGUAAAGAGCUCGUAGGCGGCUCGUCGCGUCAGCUGUGAAAACCCGCAGCUUAACUGUGGGCUUGCAGCUGAUACGGGCGGGCUAGAGUUCGGUAGGGGAGACUGGAAUUCCUGGUGUAGCGGUGAAAUGCGCAGAUAUCAGGAGGAACACCGGUGACGAAGGCGGGUCUCUGGGCCGAUACUGACGCUGAGGAGCGAAAGCGUGGGGAGCGAACAGG